GGAGAUGUAGCUCAGUGGUAGAGCAAUCACCUAACAUAGGCAAAGUCCUGGGUUCAAUCCCCAGCAUCACACA
rnacentral:tRNA from 1 species